rnacentral:rRNA from 1 species
UGGGGAAUCUUGGACAAUGGGCGCAAGCCUGAUGCAGCAACGCCGCGUGCGGGAAGACGGCCCUAGGGUUGUAAACCGCUUUCAGGAGGGAAGAAAAUGACGGUACCUCCAGAAGAAGGUGCGGCCAACUACGUGCCAGCAGCCGCGUGACACGUAGGCACCAAGCGUUAUCCGGAUUUAUUGGGCGUAAAGAGCUCGUAGGCGGUUCGGUAAGUCGGGUGUGAAAUCCAAGGCUCAACCUUGGGACGCCACCCGAUACUGCUGUGACUCGAGUGCAGUAGGGGAGCAGGGAAUUCCUGGUGUAGCGGUGAAAUGCGCAGAUAUCAGGAGGAACACCAGUGGCGAAGGCGCUGCUCUGGGCUGUAACUGACGCUGAGGAGCGAAAGCAUGGGUAGCAAAACAGGAUUAGAUACCCUGGUAGUCCAUGCCGUAAACGUUGGGCACUAGGUGUGGGUCUCAACCAACGAGAUCCGCGCCGUCGCUAACGCAUUAAGUGCCCCGCCUGGGGAGUACGGUCGCAAGACUAAAACUCAAAGG